UGUUCUUAUCAGUUUAAUAUCUGAUAUGUGGGCCAUGUGCCCACAACGAUAUUAAAUUUAUUUUUUAUGGGGGAGGGCCCACCACAGUAGCUUGCUGCUGGGGUCCACACGCCUCGCCAGGGCGUUGCACUGCUGCCUUGGCCUGGCGCACCCCAA
rnacentral:snRNA from 1 species